CACGCUUAACACAUGCAAGUCGAACGGUAACAGGGACUUCGGUCCGCUGACGAGUGGCGCACGGGUGAGUAACGCGUAGGAAACCUAUCCAGAGGUGGGGGACAACAUUCGGAAACGGAUGCUAAUACCGCAUACCUUCUAUGGAAGAAAGGCUUCGGCCGCCCUUGGCGGGUCCUGCGUCGGAUUAGUUAGUUGGUGGGGUAACGGCCUACCAAGACGUCGAUCCGUAGCUGGUCUGAGAGGAUGAUCAGCCACACUGGGACUGAGACACGGCCCAGACUCCUACGGGAGGCAGCAGUGGGGAAUAUUGCGCAAUGGGCGAAAGCCUGACGCAGCAAUGCCGCGUGAGUGAAGAAGGUCUUCGGAUUGUAAAGCUCUUUCAGUAGGGACGAUAAUGACGGUACCUACAGAAGAAGCUCCGGCUAACUCCGUGCCAGCAGCCGCGGUAAUACGGAGGGAGCAAGCGUUGUUCGGAAUUACUGGGCGUAAAGGGCGCGCAGGCGGUUUGUCAAGCCAGAAGUGAAAUCUCCGGGCUCAACCCGGAAAUGGCUUUUGGAACUGACAGACUAGAGACCGGUAGAGGAUAGUGGAAUUCCCCGUGUAGAGGUGAAAUUCGUAGAUAUGGGGAGGAACACCAGAGGCGAAGGCGGCUAUCUGGACCGGUACUGACGCUGAGGCGCGAAAGCGUGGGGAGCAAACAGGAUUAGAUACCCUGGUAGUCCACGCUGUAAACGAUGAGUGCUAGUUGUCGGGGGUAUCGACCCCUCCGGUAACGAAGUAAACGCGUUAAGCACUCCGCCUGGGGAGUACGGUCGCAAGAUUAAAACUCAAAGGAAUUGACGGGGGGCCCGCACAAGCGGUGGAGCAUGUGGUUUAAUUCGAUGCAACGCGAAGAACCUUACCUGCCUUUGACAUCCUGUGGAUCUUAUAGAGAUAUAGGAGUGCCCUUCGGGGA
rnacentral:rRNA from 1 species